UGGGGAAUCUUGCGCAAUGGGCGAAAGCCUGACGCAGCAACGCCGCGUGGGGGAUGACGGCUUUCGGGUUGUAAACCCCUUUCAGCAGGGACGAAAAUGACGGUACCUGCAGAAGAAGCCCCGGCCAACUACGUGCCAGCAGCCGCGGUAAGACGUAGGGACCGAGCGUUGUCCGGAAUUAUUGGGCGUAAAGAGCUCGUAGGCGGUUGCGUAAGUCGGAUGUGAAAGCUCAGGGCUCAACCCUGAGACGCCAUCCGAUACUGCGCUGACUUGAAUCCAGUAGGGGAGUGUGGAAUUCCUGGUGUAGCGGUGAAAUGCACAGAUAUCAGGAGGAACACCUAUGGCGAAGGCAGCACUCUGGGCUGGUAUUGACGCUGAGGAGCGAAAGCAUGGGUAGCAAACAGGAUUAGAUACCCGCGUAGUCC
rnacentral:rRNA from 1 species